rnacentral:lncRNA from 1 species
CAGCAGUUAACCUUUGAAUGAUAAUUUGAAAGGCUUUUAAAACUUUUUAUUGUAAAAAAACCUAAUUGAUGAUGUUGGUUGUCUGUUCAUCAGGACUUUUCUAUGAGCAGGUUUAAUUGUAAUCUUUAAACAUUUCUAAACUUAUAUGUGAAAUGCCUCUUGCAAAAAAAUAGAUUAAUUCUGUACUACAAUUAUUCUUGAUAUGUUGUUGUUGAUUUUUAUUUCCGCUUAAAAAUACCUCAUUGUUUUCUGUUGUCUAUAUCAAUGAAGAAAUCCAUAAAAUGAAACUCUUACUAUUUCCAAUGUAUUCAUGUUAAAUGAUGAGGUAUAGAAAAUAUUUUUAUUGUAAUCUGGAAUACUGAAUAAUAAAAUGAUUUUAAAAAAGUAACGAAUCGAGAGAAAAAAUCUAUGGGACUGUACAAAGCAGAAAUUAGGACUUUUUUCUAAACCCUCAUUCUGAUAUAUAGGUCAAAACAAAUUAAUGAUAUCUUUAUUUUGAUUUUUUUUUUUUGCAAUUUUUUUUUUUUGUUGCAAUAUUCCUACUUUAAAUCAAAUGUAUUUAUGUGCAAUAUUUAUUCUUGAUAUUUAAUACAUGUAUGUUUACAUAGUUACAGAGUAAUUACUUAUGUGUACAUAGUAAUUGCAUGUGGUUUGUUUUUAGAUGGACACUUUCUUUGUAGAAUAAAAAAAAACUAUUAUUUACUUACCAUAGCUUCAAAGAUACUUGGACAAGAAAUUUAAAAAAAAGUCUUAACUUUUAACAAUUAAACUCAUAUAAAACUUACAAAAAAUAAGGAAUUAAUUUCGGUAUAUUGUUAGUGGACAUAUAUUAAUAUUGAGAAAUCCAAAGCAUGUUGAACUUUGGAGCUGUGUUGGAUAUCAACAUAAUCUGUUCAAUAUUAUUUGAAAAGUAUAUAGAGGUCAAGUAUGGGCAUUAACCUAAAGAUAUUUUGUAUUGAUAAGAUGUCACAGUCUUAGGCAAAGAUACAAUUUAAGUUUCAAACGAUCAGGCCCAGGAAAUCAACAAUGAUUUAUAACCCUUGAAAAUUAUGAAAGUAUUGUGCAUUUUUUUUUCAAUAUGACAUAUUAUUUUUGCAAAAAUGAAUGAUUAUUUCAUAGUUAUGCUAUAUUCAUCAAUGACCUUAAUAAUAUGUUAUCAAGGGAAAUUCCAUUGAUCAUUGUACCACCAUGAUUUGCAAAAAUAUCAGACAAUUCGAAAAGUAAUAUGGUGUAUUUAUAGAUUGCUAACAACUCUACCUAUGGAACUUGAAGAUCUUUAUAGAAACUAUCUCAAAUUUUUAAUCUUGACUUGUCGACUGACUGUUAUAUUUCUGAUGAAUUCUAUCUCGACUUUCAUAUUUUAGCAAAUCAUCGACUACUGAUGGGCUACUUAUGAUUUGAGUCUUAAAGUCCAAAAACGUUUUAAUGUCUAUUGAAUUUAAGGCAUUUGCUUUUCUUUGAUAUUAUAACAUUAUUGUCUUCUUAUUAACCCUAUUCUUAAAAUUUGUCAGAAUUUUUUUAUGUACAUCAAAAGCUGAUUUGUAAAUUAUUUACAAUCAACUUGUGUAGUUUUACACUUAAUAUUUAGAUCUGUCUCUAAGUAUAUUAAACGAUCCGUAAUUGAAUAUCGAGUGUCUGUCUCUGAAAGUGUCCGUCCUCAUUCAGUGUUUCUAACAUAUAACUAAAAUGU